ensembl:lncRNA
AGGUCUGAGGCUGAGGAAAGCAGCGGCAACUUGGUGCCUAUGCCCUGUCCCUGCUGCUGUCUACACCUGGGAAGCCAAAAGCACAGCUACUCCUGAUUUGGGGAUGCAGUACAGUGCCUCCUGGUCCAGAGAAGGAGAAAAUGAAGAAGUAGAGGAAACACUUCCAGUAAAUAGACCAAGAGAAUUUCUGUGAAAGAACAAACAAUAAAAUAGACCUCUGUAGUCUAAUAGACACCAAGUCCAAAAAGGAGAAAAUACUGAAGGAAUAAAGAAAGUUCUUCAACAGAAAUGUAAAUUACUGUAAAAAGAAAAAGGAAACUAUAAGAAAGAGCCAAAAAAAUCCAAAAAUUUGUUGAGAUGGAAGCUCAAUUAACGGCAAUGAAGAGCAAAAUGAGUAUUGCAAAUGAAUGAAUAUGUGAUCUGGAAGAUACAAUAAUGGAAAUCACUCAAUCAGAACAGCAGACAGAAAGCAAUAAAAGAAAUCUACAGGAUAGUGUAGUGUCAAUCUAAGCAUAAUAGGGAUUCCAGAGGAGAAGAAAGGGAAGAAAAAGAGAUAGAAAAUGUAUUGGAAGAAAUAAUGGGUGAAAAUCUCCCAACCCUAAGUAAGGAAAUAGACAUCCAGAUAGAGGAAUCAAAGCAAGUCCCAAACAAGAUGAAUCCAAAAAGACCUACAACAAUAUAUAUUAUAAUAAAUAUAAAGACAGUAUUCUAAAGUCAACAAGAGAAAAACAAUAGUUAAUUACAAGGAAACUCCCAUAAGGCUAUCAGCUGUUUUUUUCUACAGAAACUCUGCAGGCCAGAAGGGAGUAGCAAAACAUACUCAAAGUCUUGAGUGGAAAAAAAUGUGCAAACUAUAAUACUCUACCCAACAAGAUUAUCAUUUACAAUAAGAAAGAUAGAGAAUGUUUCAGGCAAGCUGAAACUAAAAGAAUAGAGCAAUGCUAAGCCUAUCCUAAAAGAAAUAUUGAAUGGUCUUAUCUAAAUAGAAAAGAAGCAAGAAGACAUAGGAAAGAGGAAAUCACAACUGGAAAAUAAAUCACUUAAAUAAGCCAGUAUAGAGAUGAAAAAGAAAAAAAAAAUCUAUUUGUGAAAGCAAUGAAAAACAUAAGCAAAGGCAAAAGGAUAAGCAUGAAGACAUAAAAGAGGACAUCAGGAUCAUAAAACGUGGGUAAGGAGAGUAAGAAAACAUAGAUUCUUUUUUUCAGAAUGUGUUUGAAUCUAUAUGAGUAUCAGUCUAAAGCAAGCAUAUAAAGAAAGGGAUUAACAUACUUGAAAAACAAGGUAACUAUAAAUCAAAAUCAUACAACAGAUUCACCAAAAACAGAGAACAUAAACAUAAAAUUAAAAGAAAUCAUCAAAUAACAAAAAGAAAAAAA